rnacentral:rRNA from 1 species
GAUGAACGCUGGCGGCGUGCCUAAUACAUGCAAGUCGAGCGAACGGACGAGAAGCUUGCUUCUCUGAUGUUAGCGGCGGACGUGUGUGUAACACGUGGAUACCCUACCUAUAAGACUGAGAUCACUUCGGGACACCGGAGCUAAUACCGGAUAAUAUUUUGAACCGCAUGGUUCAAAAGUGAAAGACGGUCUUGCUGUCACUUAUAGAUGGAUCCGCGCUGCAUUAGCUAGUUGGUAAGGUAACGGCUUACCAAGGCAACGAUGCAUAGCCGACCUGAGAGACUGAUCGGCCACACUGGAGCUUAGACACGGUCCAGACUACUACGGGAGGCAGCAGUAGGGAAUCUUCCGCAAUGGGCGAAAGCCUGACGGAGCAACGGCGCGUGAGUGAUGAAGGUCUUCGGAUCGUAAAACUCUGUUAUUAGGGAAGAACAUAUGUGGAAGUAACUGUGCACAUCUUGACGGUACUUAAUCAGAAAGCCACGGCUAACUACGUG